GGGGAAUUUUGGACAAUGGGCGAAAGCCUGAUCCAGCAAUGCCGCGUGUGUGAAGAAGGCCUUCGGGUUGUAAAGCACUUUUGUCCGGAAAGAAAUCCUUGGCUCUAAUACAGUCGGGGGAUGACGGUACCGGAAGAAUAAGCACCGGCUAACUACGUGCCGGCAGCCGCGGUAAUACGUAGGGUGCAAGCGUUAAUCGGAAUUACUGGGCGUAAAGCGUGCGCAGGCGGUUUGCUAAGACCGAUGUGAAAUCCCCGGGCUCAACCUGGGAACUGCAUUGGUGACUGGCAGGCUAGAGUAUGGCAGAGGGGGGUAGAAUUCCACGUGUAGCAGUGAAAUGCGUAGAGAUGUGGAGGAAUACCGAUGGCGAAGGCAGCCCCCUGGGCCAAUACUGACGCUCAUGCACGAAAGCGUGGGGAGCAAACAGGAUUAGAUACCCUGGUAGUCCACGCCCUAAACGAUGUCAACUAGUUGUUGGGGAUUCAUUUCCUUAGUAACGUAGCUAACGCGUGAAGUUGACCGCCUGGGGAGUACGGUCGCAAGAUUAAAACUCAAAUGGAAUUGACGGGGUCAUAGCUGUUUCCU
rnacentral:rRNA from 1 species